rnacentral:rRNA from 1 species
GUAGGGAAUAUUAGAAAUGGACGAAAGUCUGAUCUAGCAACACCGCGUGUGCGAAGAAGGCCUUCGGGUCGUAAAGCACUUUUUGGAAGGAAUAGGAAGGAAUGUACUUCCAGAAUAAGUCUCGGCUAACUACGUGCCAGCAGCCGCGGUAACACGUAGGAGGCGAACGUUAUCCGGAUUUACUGGGCGUAAAGCGCGUGUAGGUGGUUCUGUAAGUAGGGCGUGAAAGCUCCCGGCUCAACUGGGAGAGGCCGUUCUAAACUGCAGAGCUAGAGGAUGGUAGAGGGAGGUGGAAUUCCAGGUGUAGCGGUGGAAUGCGCAGAUAUCUGGAGGAACACCAGUGGCGAAGGCGGCCUCCUGGACCAUUCCUGACACUCAGACGCGAAAGCUAGGGUAGCAAACGGG